UGCUGUAGGUUCUACUCAAACACAACCAAUAGGUUGUGAUUGAGAAAUAUGAUGCUUCUAAUUUUUUUGAAAUCAUUUUGAUAUUUUGGAGUCAUAUAUGACUUGUACAUCUUGGCACAACACAUAAUUAUAUUUUGUAAGCCUUUUUUGGGAGGUCAAAUUUUCUGUGAUGAAUCUUGGCACUCACUCAAGCUUCAAUGAAAUUAGAUUAAGAUGUUUUGCUUGUUGGAAUUUGGCAUUUUGUUUUCAAAUGUUUGGCUUGCUUACUAUGAGACUGCUCAUUUGUCAAAGAGUUGUGAAUUGAAAGCCACAAAACUCUAUAACAGUAAGUAACGGUUCCAAGCAACAUUAAAUUUCCAUGUAGUUGUGAUUGAGGGUCAAGCUCUAGAAUAGGCAUUGCUGAGUUGAACCAUGGGAAAGUGAAUGCUCAAUAGAUUUAAUUGGUGUACAAACAAUAGGUUCCGUUGAUAUCAAGGUAUUUAUUUCCUCUAUUAAACAAUCAAUUGAAAUAAGAAUUAAAAGAAUGUUAUGUCAAAAACCACUGCAUCAAUAUUUUGGCUGUUCCUUUAUUUUUGGUUGUACUUUGCAA